rnacentral:rRNA from 1 species
UACGUAGGGUGCAAGCGUUGUCCGGAAUUAUUGGGCGUAAAGAGCUCGUAGGCGGUUUGUCGCGUCUGCUGUGAAAACGCGAGGCUCAACCUCGCGCCUGCAGUGGGUACGGGCAGACGUAGAGUGCGGUAGGGGAGAUUGGAAUUCCUGGUGUAGCGGUGGAAUGCGCAGAUAUCAGGAGGAACACCGAUGGCGAAGGCAGAUCUCUGGGCCGUAACUGACGCUGAGGAGCGAAAGCGUGGGGAGCAAACGGG